UUAGCAGCACAGGAUGCAGAACAUUACCUAUCUAAUAAGCAGACGGCAGCAUGGCCAUUCUAAGCCCAAGCUGUGCCUCGGACAAUUGUUUAAAUAGAAAGAACAAAUGGACCGCUAUUUUACCUUGUCUCAAAGCCCUCCACUGGAAGGGUGCUCCUCCCCCAAAGGGCCGUCAACAAGGUGAUACACGGAGAUGAAGGAAACUUUCCCCAUCAAGGAGGGCUGGGAAGAUGCUGUGGUGUGUCCUCCUGGGUGGCUGGGACCCAAAGCUAAGAUGCCUAAGCCAGUCCUGAAUCAUAAAGCCAGUCCUGAAAGUACCAAGUAGCUAACACUUUGUUGGUUCACAUGGACUAAAGAAUGCCAGCCAGGAGUGGCUACUGAGUGACUUUGCCACCAACAUCAAAUGGUGGGGCCUGCCCACCUGCCUUCUGCUAUUCCUGGCUUCAGGUUGAACAGUUUUUACCAGAACUUUUGUUACUUGCAACCAAGAGAACCUUGACUAUAUGAGCACUGGCAAAGAGAACUUUUAAAAUUGCUUCCCUUAGUUUUUGAGAUUAUGAUAUAAUGACUUCACUUUCUCAAGUCUUUCCUUUCUCUAAGCCCUCAGUAGA